rnacentral:rRNA from 1 species
CCUACGGGAGGCAGCAGUGAGGAAUAUUGGUCAAUGGACGAGAGCCUGAACCAGCCAAGUAGCGUGAAGGAUGACUGCCCUACGGGUUGUAAACUUCUUUUAUAUGGGAAUAAAAUAGGGCACAUGUACCUUUUUGUAUGUACUAUAUGAAUAAGGAUCGGCUAACUCCGUGCCAGCAGCCGCGGUAAUACGGAGGAUCCGAGCGUUAUCCGGAUUUAUUGGGUUUAAAGGGAGCGUAGAUGGAUUGUUAAGUCAGUUGUGAAAGUUUGCGGCUCAACCGUAAAAUUGCAGUUGAUACUGGCAGUCUUGAGUACAGUAGAGGUAGGCGGAAUUCGUGGUGUAGCGGUGAAAUGCUUAGAUAUCACGAAGAACUCCGAUUGCGAAGGCAGCUCACUAAACUGCAACUGACACUGAUGCUCGAAAGUGUGGGUAUCAAACAGGAUUAGAUACCCGAGUAGUC